rnacentral:rRNA from 1 species
UACGUAGGGUGCGAGCGUUGUCCGGAAUUACUGGGCGUAAAGAGCUCGUAGGUGGUUUGUCGCGUUGUUCGUGAAAACUCACAGCUUAACUGUGGGCGUGCGGGCGAUACGGGCAGACUGGAGUACUGCAGGGGAGACUGGAAUUCCUGGUGUAGCGGUGAAAUGCGCAGAUAUCAGGAGGAACACCGGUGGCGAAGGCGGGUCUCUGGGCAACAACUGACGCUGAGGAGCGAAAGCGUGGGGAGCGAACAGG